GUGCCAGCAGCCGGCGGUAAUACUUAGGUGGCAAGCGUUAUCCGGAAUUAUUUGGGCGUAAAGCGCGCCGCAGGUGGUUUCUUAAGUCUGAUGUGAAAGCCCCACGGCUCAACCCGUGGAGGGUCAUUGGAAACUGGGAGACUUGAGUGCAGAAGAGGAAAGUGGAAUUCCAUGUGUAGCGGUGAAAUGCGUAGAGAUAUGGAGGAACACCAGUGGCGAAGGCGACUUUCUGGUCUGUAACUGACACUGAGGCGCGAAAGCGUGGGGGAGCAAACAGGAUUAUAUACCCUGGUAGUCC
rnacentral:rRNA from 1 species